UUAAUAUAGAUCCAAACCAAAGACCGUAGGUGGUUUUAACCUUAAUUACCCUACCGAGGUUGGAAGUAGGUUUCGCUAGCCUCAUAGUGUGAUUUCAACCUCCGUUCCAUUCUUUGGUACGGGGGUAAUUUU
rnacentral:sRNA from 1 species